UACGGGGGGGGUAAGCGUUGUUCGGAAUUACUGGGCGUAAAGGGCUCGUAGGCGGCCAACUAAGUCGGACGUGAAAUCCCUCAGCUUAACUGGGGAACUGCGUCCGAUACUGGAUGGCUUGGAUUUGGGAGAGGGAUGCGGAAUUCCAGGUGUAGCGGUGAAAUUCGUAGAUAUUGGGAAGAACACCGGUGGCGAAGGCGGCUAUCUGGACCGACAUUGACGCUGAGGCGCGAAAGCGUGGGGAGCAAACAGG
rnacentral:rRNA from 1 species